rnacentral:rRNA from 1 species
UAACGCGAAGAACCUUACCAGGUCUUGACAUCCCGUUGACCACUGUAGAGAUAUAGUUUCCCCUUCGGGGGCAACGGUGACAGGUGGUGCAUGGUUGUCGUCAGCUCGUGUCGUGAGAUGUUGGGUUAAGUCCCGCAACGAGCGCAACCCUUGAUCUUAGUUGCCAUCAUUUAGUUGGGCACUCUAAGGUGACUGCCGGUGACAAACCGGAGGAAGGUGGGGAUGACGUCAAAUCAUCAUGCCCCUUAUGACCUGGGCUACACACGUGCUACAAUGGACGAUACAAACGGUCGCCAACUCGCGAGAGGGAGCUAAUCCGAUAAAGUCGUUCUCAGUUCGGAUUGUAGGCUGCAACUCGCCUACAUGAAGCCGGAAUCGCUAGUAAUCGCGGAUCAGCAUGCCGCGGUGAAUACGUUCCCGGGUCUUGUACACACCG